rnacentral:rRNA from 1 species
GAGCGGUAACAGGCGUAGCAAUACGUGCUGACGAGCGGCGAACGGGUGAGUAAUGCUUCGGAAUCUACCCAGUAGUGGGGAAUAACCAUCCGAAAGGGUGGCUAAUACCGCAUACGUCCUACGGGAGAAAGCGGGGGAUCGUAAGACCUCGCGUUAUUGGAUGAGCCGAAGCCGGAUUAGCUAGUUGGUAGGGUAACGGCCUACCAAGGCGACGAUCCGUAGCUGGUCUGAGAGGACGACCAGCCACACUGGGACUGAGACACGGCCCAGACUCCUACGGGAGGCAGCAGUGGGGAAUAUUGGACAAUGGGGGAAACCCUGAUCCAGCGACGCCGCGUGUGUGAAGAAGGCCUGCGGGUUGUAAAGCACUUUUAGUGGGGAUGAAAAGCCUUGGGAUAACACCCCAGGGUCUUGACCUAACCCACAGAAAAAGCACCGGCUAACUCUGUGCCAGCAGCCGCGGUAAUACAGAGGGUGCGAGCGUUAAUCGGAAUUACUGGGCGUAAAGCGUGCGUAGACGGUCAUGUAAGUCGGGUGUGAAAGCCCCGGGCUCAACCUGGGAAUUGCAUUCGAGACUGCACGGCUUGGGUGCGGAAGAGGGAAGCGGAAUUUCCGGUGUAGCGGUGAAAUGCGUCGAUAUCGGAAGGAACACCAGUGGCGAAAGCGGCUUCCCGGUCCGACACCGACGUUCAGGCACGAAAGCGUGGGGA